rnacentral:lncRNA from 1 species
GGCUGACUUGGAGGAUCGCCUGUGAGUUCAAGGCCAGCCUGGGCUACAUAGUUCAAGUUCAAACGAAAGUAUUGAAGAACCCUUGUAACCUCAAUUGAAAGAUCAUUAGAGGGAGCCAGCCCCUAGAUUUGGACGAAUGUUCUUUAUAUAUCCCCUUUCACAUUUCACAAUCAUGAUUUAGAAUGAAAAUUGACAUUUCAGUCACUAAAACUGGUAGUUUUGGGCUGAGGGUGUAGCUCAGUGGUAGAGCACAUGCCUAGCAUGUUUAAGGCCCUGGAUCCAAUCCCUAGGACUGGCAAACACAAAGAAAAAAAGACUGAUAGCUCGUCUGUAUGAUCUGGCCUCUCUUGAGCCAAGUUAAAUCAGCUGUUGGAGAAGCAGUGAAAGGGACAGGGGACCAAGAGAUGGAGGAAGAGGGGAGAACAGGUAAAAAAAUUAUGUGUUACAUGCAUGCAUCGACUACCUACAAGGAGUGGAAUCAUUAUGUACUGCAAACCUGUACUAAUAAAAUGAAAAAUGUUGAAUUGAGUUCCAAAGUACAUUUCAACGUCAUGUGCUUUUUGUGGUCUUCUUUUGUGGUACUGGGUGUUGAACCCAGAGCUAUUACACUGAGCUUUAGCUUCCCCCACCUUUUUAUGUUUAUU